GUGAUCCUACGGGGGGCAGCAGUGAGGAAUAUUGGUCAAUGGGCGGGAGCCUGAACCAGCCAAGCCGCGUGAGGGAAGAAGGUACAGCGUAUCGUAAACCUCUUUUGUCAGGGCACAAAGGCGGGGACUAGUCCCCGGAUGAGGGUACCUGAAGAAAAAGCAUCGGCUAACUCCGUGCCAGCAGCCGCGGUAAUACGGAGGAUGCGAGCGUUAUCCGGAUUUAUUGGGUUUAAAGGGUGCGCGGGCGGCCUGUUAAGUCGGCGGGAAAAGCCCGGGG
rnacentral:rRNA from 1 species